rnacentral:rRNA from 1 species
UACGCUGGCGGCACGCCUAAACAUGCAAGUCGAACGAAGUAGCAAUACUUAGUGGCAGACGGGUGAGUAACAUGUAGGUAUCUGCCCUUUGGCCUGGAAUAACACGAGGAAACUUGUGCUAAUACCGGAUAAGUCUUUACAGAGAAAGCUUUAUGCACCAUUGGAUGAGCCUGCACUUGAUUAGUUUGUUGGUGGGGUAAUGGCCUACCAAGACUGUGAUCAAUAGCUGAUUUGAGAGGAUGAUCAGCCACAUUGGGACUGAGACACGGCCCAAACUCCUACGGGAGGCAGCAGUGGGGAAUCUUGCACAAUGGAGGAAACUCUGAUGCAGCGAUGCCGCGUGAGUGAAGAAGGCCCUUGGGUUGUAAAGCUCUUUCGUCGGGGAAGAAAAUGACUGUACCCGAAUAAGAAGGUCCG